AAUAAGGUAAAAAUGAAUUAAAGUAAUUUUGUUAAUAAUUCCACUCGUUUGUUAGAUUCACAUUGGAAGACAUCUGAAAAGGACAACUUACUUGUGUUACUGCCAACAUCUCCUCCUGUGGCAGGAGAGCUCCUUGGACUUUCUUUGGAAAAUACCUCUGAGAACGACACACAUGAGGUUGUUGAUGCCCCAUGUGUCAAUACAGGAAAGACAGUUGCCCAGGGAAGCAGAAACAUGGCCUCUAUUUUAAAGUUCACUGAUGACAUCCUCAAGCUACAGAGGUGCAGGAUGUUUUAAAGAAAACUGACUGUGACUUGGAGCACUGUAAUGAAGAAAGUGCUCAAAUAGAACAUCCACUUGAGCCCAAACUUUUUGGAGUCUCUCUGAAAUACAUUUGUAAGAACGACAAUCUGCUGACACCUAUCAUGAAUAUUCUUUUGUUCCUGAAUGACAAAGCCCCUCUCAAGGAAGGCAUCUUCUUUGUACCGGCUGACAUGGAAUACUGCCAACAACUAAAAGAAAAACUUAAUUGUGGAGUACUGGUACAGCUGUACUGGGAAAAUGCCUUUGUGCUGGUGUCUAUUUUAAUGGUAGGAAAAGUUCUUCCUUUAUUCAUAGCACGUGUAGCUCUCAAGAUAAUUUUUUUUAAUUGUGAGCAUUAUUUCUGCCUACAAUGACCUAUAAUAGAUUUAGAAAUGAAAUAGUGUUAAAAAACAUUUCACAAAUCAACACUGGACAUUAAAAACCAUCACCACUGAUAUGACAUAAGAUGUCCUUUUAAAAUAGUUUUCGUGUCAUGCUAAUCUCAUAUUCACUUCUGAAA
rnacentral:lncRNA from 1 species